UACGGAGGGUGCAAGCGUUGUUCGGAAUUACUGGGCGUAAAGGGCGCGUAGGCGGCACUGUAAGUCAGAUGUGAAAGUCCAAGGCUCAACCAUGGAAGUGCAUCUGAAACUGCAGAGCUUGAGUAUCGGAGGGGAAAGUGGAAUUCCCGGUGUAGAGGUGAAAUUCGUAGAUAUCGGGAGGAACACCGGUGGCGAAGGCGACUUUCUGGACGAAUACUGACGCUGAGGCG
rnacentral:rRNA from 1 species